GAUGAACGCUGGCGGCGUGCCUAAUACAUGCAAGUCGAGCGAACGGACGAGAAGCUUGCUUCUCUGAUGUUAGCGGCGGACGGGUGAGUAACACGUGGAUAACCUACCUAUAAGACUGGGAUAACUUCGGGAAACCGUAGCUAAUACCGGAUAAUAUUUUGAACCGCAUGGUUCAAAAGUGAAAGACGGUCUUGCUGUCACUUAUAGAUGGAUCCGCGCUGCAUUAGCUAGUUGGUAAGGUAACGGCUUACCAAGGCAACGAUGCAUAGCCGACCUGAGAGGGUGAUCGGCCACACUGGAGCUGGAACACGGUCCAGACUCCUACGGGAGGCAGCAGUAGGGAAUCUUCCGCAAUGGGCGAAAGCCUGACGGAGCAACGCCGCGUGAGUGAUGAAGGUCUUCGGAUCGUAAAACUCUGUUAUUAGGGAAGAACAUAUGUGUAAGUAACUGUGCACAUCUUGACGGUACCUAAUCAGAAAGCCACGGCUAACUACGUG
rnacentral:rRNA from 1 species